rnacentral:lncRNA from 1 species
AUGUAUUUCAGACUUCUUCAUAGAAAGCCACAAAUCUCCUUUUUCUGGCAUCCCAAACAAUUAAGGAUUCAUUUUUCUAUUCAGAAUUGCUGGACCUGUCUGGCUCACGUCUCCCUGCUCCUUCCACUCACACUAAACUGCACACACGGAUGCUCCCUGCAGAAAGAAGUCAGCUGCAGUCCAGCUCUGCAUGAGGCAAAGUCCUGUAGGGACUUCUGUAAAAACCAACCAGACAUGACUAUCACAAGUGAUCUCCCAUGCUUGCAGCCAGAAUCCCAGCUCAUCCACAUCACCUGGAACAGGCAAACACUCCAGAGACAAGUUUUCACGUCUUCAUCCUGCUUUGGCCCAGCACUCCGAUCCUGGCUCACAGAAAAGACAGCCCAGUAGAGAAGAUUCUGCGAAUUCUUGGAAGGCAAAAAAGCUGAUGUUAACAGGACAUGAGUACUAGGGGAGACUCCCCUUUUGUCUUUGCUUUUCAUUAUUGCUUGAUUGAUUUAAUCUCUUGUCUUUAUGUAAAAGGAAGCAAAUGAACUGGACUACACAAGCAGUGUAUGCUUCUCUGGCCAGAGGGUUUGCAGCUCCUUUAUAUGUACAUUCUUGUAUAGUCCAUUUUAGCUCUUUAGUCUGAUAGUUUGAUGUUCUUUUUCUUUAAUUGUGUAAAAAGCUGUCAUAGCUGAAUGUUGAACUUCAAGCAAGAUGCUAUUAGAUCUCCAGUUCCACUGACAGAUUACCCAGUCCAGGAAAUCCCUGCCGUAUAAAGGAGAACUUUGCCCUUUCCCCUGACUUUAGCUUCUGCUCCAGCUCUUCCUGCCUUGUGGUGGUGCUCAUUAAGUCCUUUGAUCCUUACGUGAGAAAAAAAAAGUGUGCAGCGUGGUUGGUUUUCCAAAAAAGAAUGUUGAAUCAACCCUUGGAGAGGUCCUAUGGUCCCUGGUGCUGGUACAAGGCAACGAGCAGGAGAGGGCAAAUGAAAGGAGAUGUCAACAGAGGAGGGGAACAGGCAGCUCAUCAGACCACUGUCUUCACCCCAGUUAACCUAAAGCUUUAGGUAGGAUCUGGGUCUACUUAGUUAGUCCAGAGAUUUUUCUUUGUAUCUCAGCCAUGUUCUUUACUACUGUCUUUUGGUACAAUGUGGACACUGAAACACGUGGUUCUAUUUCUUUCUUUAUUUAUUUAUUUUAAUAGCACAAAAGGCUGCUUGAGGUGUGGGUAACAGGAAGCAGCCAAAGGACAAAGUCUUUUGAAGAAUAAAAAAAUUAACAUGUCAGGGAAGAAAUUGAUCAGCUAAUUCCUUGUUUCUUCCUUCUCAUUGUUACGUUGUGUGUCUGCUACACACACCUCUUGAAGCAGUUAUUCUGGUUACACACAGAUCUAUGGAUUUUAUAGCCAGUUUGAUUGCUCAGACUCGCUGGCUGCUGCUGAGAGCAGCAUAAUGAUCAGUGAUAAUCAAAAGAAUGUGCAGACAGGCUGUAAGAACACAGACUUUAUCUCUGGGUAUGAAGAACGGAAACAAAGUGAAGAACUCGUGGAUUCUGAAGACAUUUGUGUUAUUUUCUAUUUUGAUGUAAUUUCUUUCCUUUAUUCCUUUCUUUCUUUUUUACAUAUUAAACUGUCUUUAUAUAAAUACAUGAGUUUUCUAACUUUUACCUUUCUAAUUCUCUCCAGCGGACUAUUAAGAAGUAAGCAAGCAGCUAUGUAGUUUUUAGCAGCCUAUAAGGGUUAACACACAACAGUUCUUUCUAGUGCCCAAUGUGAGGCAAUAAAGGGUUUUGAGUUAGCAAGAGAUUUGACUAGAACAUGUUAGAGGAAACUCAGAAUUUUUAUAUCUAUUAAACUGCUGCUGGUCAUGAUACUGACUUUUUUGUUCUCAGUGUUGUUUUUGAUUCAUGCCAUGCUCCUUUUUUGCUGUACAUCAAGUAUGAAAUCUUGUUAAAGGCUGUUUUUGGCUUUUGCAGUUUGCAGUGCUGUGUAGCACUUUGUUCUUACAUUGUGCCAUGGAGAAUUAUGGUAAAAGCACUAGCCCUGAGCCUAAUCUAUUACUGAGGCCCUGCAUUGCUUGCCUUGGAGACAGUUUACAGUCACACUGUUUCCCUAUUCUCUUCCAAGGGCCAAGUGUUGGAGAAAAUAAAGAAUCACACCUUCCCCUUUCUUCUCCCAUGGGGAAGAUGUUUCUAGACUUACAAUAAUGACUUCUUGGUAUUUUGAGCUUCCUUGAGUAACCAGCACGGAAUCAUUCCAUUUAUAGAACAAAUUGUCUAUUUACUUUGUAUUUUUGUUCAUUUUCUGGUUAAUCAGUUGGUGGUGGUUGUCUCUUUUGUGGGCUGUUUUGUUCUUUUCAAUUACAGAGGAAUCACUGGAUGCCAUAAAUAGACCAGGCAUUUGUUGAAUAAAAUCUUCUAUCACUAAAGCCAUUGCUCUUAGUUUUUGAUUUUGCAAAAAUUACAAAAUAAUCAAAU